rnacentral:lncRNA from 1 species
ACUAAUAUCUCCCUUCAAACCCCCCAAUUUCUCUCGGCCCUUUUUCCUCGUUGCCUUCUAAUCAGAGUUAAACUUCAUUUUUCGAACAAAGAAUUUCCAACAAAGAUUAAAACCCUGUAAUGUACCCCGCAUUUUUUAGUGCAGGCCAUUUUGUUUUGCAUGUUCAGAUCCUGCAAUUAAUACCCUUAUUUCACCUAUUGCUACGAAAGGAUGGUUUGAAUGGUUUAUUGUGUUGAUAAUAUUAGCAGCAAUUGCAUUAACCAUAAAGCAGAAAAUGCACAACAAAGAAUCAGAUUUUGAAGCUUGCUUGUGUUCCGGGGCCUCCCAGUGCGGUUACGCAGAAAUAUGCCGACACUCUCAAAACUGCUAUGUAGUUCUGGGAGCAAAAGACAUGGGAUAAGUAAGUUGAUUUGUUUCAGUUCUUCUUAAGUUGGGCUAUUCUUGGUGUCAGUACAAAUUGACGUCUUUGCAGAAGGGUUUGUGGUUGAAAGAGAGGAGUAGAUUUGUAAUUGGUCUAGCUCUAUUUUUCCGAGAAGACUUGAACGCCAUUAUCGAUUUCUUGCAGCAAAGUCAAAAGCUUAAAAUUACUGUGGUAGAUAGAGUUUUAAAGGCAGUGUUUGAGCNN